GAAAUGCGAUAAGUAAUGUGAAUUGCAGAAUUCAGUGAAUCAUCGAAUCUUUGAACGCACAUUGCGCCCGCCAGUAUUCUGGCGGGCAUGCCUGUCCGAGCGUCAUUUCAACCAUCAAGCCCCCGGGCUUGUGUUGGGGACCUGCGGCUGCCCGCAGGCCCUGAAAACCAGUGGCGGGCUCGCUGUCACACCGAGCGUAGUAGCAAUCACCUCGCUCAGGGCGUGCUGCGGGUUCCGGCCGUUAAACAGCCUUACAAAACCCAAGGUUGACCUCGGAUCAGGUAGGAUGACCCGCUGAACUUAAGC
rnacentral:misc_RNA from 1 species